rnacentral:rRNA from 1 species
AAGACCUUGCGCUUUUGGAGCGGCCGAUGUCUGAUUAGCUAGUUGGUGGGGUAAAGGCCUACCAAGGCAUCGAUCAGUAGCUGGUCUGAGAGGACGACCAGCCACACUGGGACUGAGACACGGCCCAGACUCCUACGGGAGGCAGCAGUAGGGAAUUUUGGACAAUGGGGGCAACCCUGAUCCAGCCAUGCCGCGUGAGUGAAGAAGGCCUUCGGGUUGUAAAGCUCUUUCAGUCGGGAAGAAAAGGUUGUGACUAAUAAUUGCAAUUCAUGACGGUACCGACAGAAGAAGCACCGGCUAACUACGUGCCAGCAGCCGCGGUAAUACGUAGGGUGCGAGCGUUAAUCGGAAUUACUGGGCGUAAAGGGUGCGCAGGCGGUCUUGUAAGUCAGAUGUGAAAUCCCCGGGCUUAACCUGGGAACU